UGAGAGGGCGACCGGCCACAUUGGGACUGAGAUACGGCCCAGACUCCUACGGGAGGCAGCAGUGGGGAAUAUUGCACAAUGGGCGCAAGCCUGAUGCAGCGACGCCGCGUGCGGGAUGACGGCCUUCGGGUUGUAAACCGCUUUUGAUCGGGAGCAAGCCUUCGGGUGAGUGUACCUUUCGAAUAAGCACCGGCUAACUACGU
rnacentral:rRNA from 1 species